rnacentral:tRNA from 1 species
UCCCUGGUGGUUCAGUUAGAACGCUGAGCUUCCACUGCAGCAGGCCUGGGUUCAAUCCCAGGUCAGGGAA